rnacentral:misc_RNA from 1 species
GGCGACCAUUCGACCGUUUCGUAUGUAAGUUCGACGCCUUCUGGCGCGGCGUCUCUCGAAGAAGACGAUGAGCGUGGUGCAACGGCGCCCAGCGAUCGCGACAUAGCCGGCCGCUCGAUAGCGACGAUCUCCGGUGAUAUGGCGACGGGCAGCCUUGGAGGCACAUGCUGGUUCACCCAGUCGAGCAAGGUAGCGACGUCGGCC